GGGAUGCAAGCGUUAUCCGGAAUCAUUGGGCGUAAAGCGCCUGUAGGUUGCCUAAUAAGUCUGUUGUUAAAGACCAGGGCUUAACCCUGGGAAAGCAAUGGAAACUACUAGGCUUGAGUAUGGUAGGGGUAGAGGGAAUUUCUAGUGUAGCGGUGAAAUGCGUAGAUAUUAGAAAGAACACCGGUGGCGAAAGCGCUCUACUGGGCCAUUACUGACACUCAGAGGCGAAAGCUAGGGGAGCGAAAGGGAUUAGAUACCCCUGUAGUCCUAGCCGUAAACGAUGGAUACUAGGUGUUGUGUUUAUAUACAGUAUCGUAGCUAACGCGUUAAGUAUCCCGCCUGGGGAGUACGCUCGCAAGGGUGAAACUCAAAGGAAUUGACGGGGGCCCGCACAAGCGGUGGAGCAUGUGGUUUAAUUCGAUGCAACGCGAAGAACCUUACCAGGGCUUGACAUACUACAAAUCUUUUUGAGACGAAAGAGUGCCUUCGGGAAUGUAGAUACAGGUGGUGCAUGGCUGUCGUCAGCUCGUGUUCGUGAGAUGUUGGGUUAAGUCCCGCAACGAGCGCAACCCUCGUUUUUAGUUGCCAAUUUAUUGGGAUUUCUAAAGAGACUGCCGAUGAUAAAUCGGAGGAAGGUGAGGAUGACGUCAAGUCAGCAUGCCCCUUAUGUCCUGGGCCACACACGUGCUACAAUGGCAAAGACAAAGAGUCGCAAAUUCGCGAGAACUAG
rnacentral:rRNA from 1 species